rnacentral:tRNA from 1 species
UUGAUUGAAACCAAAAAGAGGUGUGUCACUGUUAAUGACAUAAUUGAAGUACUUUCUUCCAGUCAAG